rnacentral:lncRNA from 1 species
UUUGGGGCUGCCAAAAUGAUAAGGUUAGAUGGGCUUUUCUCCUCUGUGAAUCAGAUUCUCAACAUUGCGACUUUAUUGUACCUUCUGUUAUUUUUUUCUCAUGCAUGUGCAGUGUCUUUGAUGGGUGUAGAAUUUAUACCGUAAGAUCAGCGUGUGUACAUCACAAGCUUUUGUUGCUCCUUUAUAUACUGUUGUCGAAAUAAUUGUUCCCAAUAUUGUCAAAAUUUUCUUGCUAAGACCCAAUUUGGAGGUCAUAAUUUGCGGGAAAAAGCGAGAAUACAGAAAAGCUUAUCGUCAUUUUUAGGUACUUGAGCAUUUUGGAUGGAUCUAUGAGAAUUGUGUGUACUUAAUGCAUUUUGCAUUUGAUGCUCCUUCAUGCUUAUUACUAUAGAUAGUUAAUAAGUAAAGAUGAUAAACAUACAUCAUUGACUUGCAGGAGAAUUGUUGGGGUAGCUCAUGUUGCAGAUUUUGAAUCGAUCAAAGAGGCUAAAAAACGAGCAGAUUGUGAGCGAAAAGCUCUUAACUUUGCCAAGAAUCUUCUGAAGGAGAGAAGAAAUUUCCAAAGCAUUAGUGAGGUGGUUUCUGCAAUGGAGAAACUCGAUUAGUUAUCUUCAUAAUUUUCAUAUUUUGGGAUGUCUAAAUAUGUUGGUUUUGAGGAGUGUUUUGCAAUAACUGCUGUGUAUGAAUUGAUUAAGAAUAAACUCCCUUGUGCAGUGGAAGGCUCCCCCUUUUUAUUAUGGAUUCAUAUGUUUUGCUCAAAGCCUCAAACCCAAGAGUGAGCGAGGAAUAACAAUUGUGUACAUAUCAACACGACUCUAUUUUCUUAAUAAUUUCAUUCAAAAAUUCUUAUUUACAAAAAAAAUUUAAAUAUAAAAAACUGAUCCCUAAAUUAAUCUCAAUAGUUUGUGUCGAGCGACAUAGAUUUUGAGGCUGGAGCAUUACAACACCUGGUUUCACGGGGUGCCUUUCUUCUUGGCACAGAAAGGGACACCGUGCGGCAGUAGUCUGCUCCGCUAGACUACCUUCCGCCUUUUCUCGGUCGCGUCGGGACGAAAGAAAAUUUGAUUGCAAUUUUGUAGAAAGCUUACAAUUGAGAAUUUGAAUACAUUGAAAGUAAAUUGAACAUUGAUUGCUGAAAACUGAACAUUACAAUUGAUGAAAGCAGAAAAUUACAAAUGCUGGUGCAGGGGGCGGACACCAGUGAGCUUGAAAGAUUUUUGAAUGACUAAUACCCCCUAUAAUAGCAUUCUGAACAAAAACCCAAGUGACGGGAGUAGACGUUUAAAAGACGAGGAAUCAUACUAAUCUUUUACCAAUAUCAGAGCUAUUUUACAAUUAAAAUAACUAUUACAAUGAAACGAAAAUUACAACUCAAACUUGAAGUAAUAUUUACAAUGUGCGGUCGAAGUUGGGCAAACUGCGGCUGCGAUAGUGUCAAGGGGCUAAGUAAAGCUGCGGUCCUUGACAUUCUCCCCCAUUUGUUUUGGUGACGUCCUCGGUGCCAUCAAUGCAUGAUACUCUUCAAUUAAUGAUUUGAAGGCCCCGAGAUCUUUUUCUCUUUCCCAAGUAUUCUCCUCGCUGCUGCAUCCCAUCCAUUUGACCAAGUACUCCUGAUGAUCUUUUCUAGAAGCCCGAGUGAUUCGAUGAUCAAGAAUAGCUUCAGCAACCUUCUUUCCAGCUUUCUUCAGUUCAAAUACAGGUCGCUUUGGCUCAUUUCUAGAUGCGUCCUCCUUAUCCAAAAAGUAUGGCUUCAACACACUAACAUGAAGGACCUUGUGGAUUUUACACCAUGAAGGGAGUUCAACUCUGUAUGCAACUCUUCCAAUCCUCUUCACAAUGGGUAAUGGUCCAAUGUAUUUUGGUGACAACCUUGAGUCCUUCCCUCUUGUUGGCUUGUAAACAAUUCUGUCGAAAAGCUUAACCAUUACCAGAUCUCCAACAUUGAAUUCAAUAAAACGACGCUUUAGAUCUGCAGCCUUUUUAUACCGUUUUUGAGAAAAGAUAACUCCGAGCAAUUUCAAUAUUUCGUUUCCACUCUUGAGAAAAGCUCUUUGCUUGAGGGGACUUGGUACUUCGUUCAAUAUCCACUGUAUGAGGGAGUAGCGGUUGCUGGCCAGUAACAAUCUCAAAAGGACUCUUAUUGGUGGAAGAGCUCUUUUGGGCAUUGAAGCAAAUUUGGGCCGCAUCCAAAAGUUUUACCCAGUUUUUCUGCGAAGUAGAGAUAAAGUGCCGAAGAUAUUCUUCUAGCAUAGAAUUGAAGCGCUUCCGUCUGUCCGUCAGAUUGUGGGUGAAAACUGGAACUCAUGCUCAAAGUUGAACCAAGAAGUUUGAACAACUCAGUCCAAAAUAUGCCAGUGAAACGAGGAUCUCGAUCACUGACGAUGUCCUUAGGCAGCCCCCAGUAUUUGACAAUAUGUUUGAAGAAGCUAUUGCCCAAUAAAAAAAGAAAGUUGUUGCUUAGAUUUUGAUUAUGUGCAUCUGUUGAUGUUUUAAGAUCAUGAAGAGAUGUAUCUUGAUAAAUAUAGUCAAUUGGUGUGUUUUGGAAUGGCAUGGGUCUUGUCGGAACAAGUAGUGUCGUCAGUAUUUGUAUUUGCAAGUUGGGUAUCUUAGCUUGCACUCUUGACCAAAUUUGUUGGCAUGAAGUUUGAAUGUUGGGUGGUAUGUGUAAAAGGGAAUGAGAGCUUUUUCCGGUGAUAUAAAGGUCCAGCGAUUUGAGCGAUGGUUGGCCGAAAUUUUUUGACUUUCUAAAGUGGCAACGCCAUUUGAUGGUAUAUGAGAUGGAGGUAGGGAGAGGAGGAGAAAGAAAGAGUUUUUUUUUUUUUUUUAAUUUUAAUAAUUUAUUUCAAUUUAUUUGCACUUUUUAAAAAGUUUAGGAGUAAGAUUGUAAUUUGUUAUUUAUUUUAUUUUCUUUCCUUUUUAGCUUUAUUUAAAUAAGAUGGUAUAUUGAUCAUUUUAUGUUAAAACUUAGUAAAAAUAACGUUUUUCGUAAUGAAAUGUGAAAAUAUUAGCGAAAAUGUCAAAAAAUGAAAUGUAGAAAUGUAUUGUACAAAUUAGCCAACCUUUAAAUGAUUCAUUAAAUACAUAUAAGUUAUUGCACAUAAAUAAUACUGAAGUAGUUUGUGUUCUAGCGGUAAGGAACCAAUUAUUUUCCUUGGAGUUCCAACGUUCAAUUUUCUUAGACCAAAAUUUUGAAAGAGGAUUUCAAAAUCCGAUCAACAGGCCAGUUGUUUAAUAUUAAAAUCAGCGGUUAACUCGGUCAAAGUCAAUUUUUGACCAAGUCAUUUGCAUUUCUAUCAAAUUAAUCCGCUCGGCCUGAUCAAUGGCCCAGGUUGCUUAUUUAACUAUGAUAUUUUUAGAUGUUGGGGGCAUAAUAGAAUGGUCCCCAAUCUAUCAAAAAUAUAACAAGUAGGACUAUAACCAAAUGUUACGACACCCAAAGUCCCUAAUCUUUAAUUUUUGUACAACUUUGCUAUUAGCAAUACCUCGCAUGACACCCUCCUCACAAGAGGAAGCCUCCUCUUGUGAGUGAGGUGUCAACCUUGGAUGUACAAAUAGCGAAAUUGAUUUUUGACACUGCAAAUGUACAAAUAACGAUAUUGAUUUUUGUAAUAUGUAGGUCCCAUUGGAAAUUGUGCCAUUUAAUUUAAUUAAAAAUUCAGAUUUAUUUAAAAUUAUAACUUUACCUUUGUCUUUAAUUAAGUAAAAAUUAAAUAAUGAAAAACGAAGAGAGACUAAAGCAAGUUAAAUACACUUAUGCUUAGUUUCCAAAACGAAGAGAAACUAAGUCAAGUCAAAACCCUCACGCUUAGUUUUGUAUUUUCUUUAAUAAAUGAUGGUGGUUAGACCAUGUUUGUAAUAAAAUUUUGGAUUUUUCAAUUAAAGAUAAUCAUAUAAUUAUUCAUCAGAAACUCAAAUACUAUAAGAAUUGGAAGAUCGAGACUGCAAUCACCAAAUUAAUAAGUUAAGGCCCUAAUUGUGUGUGUCUUUUUUUUUUUCUUUUUUCUUUUUUUUAAACAAUUCUUAUUUGGUACCUUUCGGGAAGAUUUCAUCUUGGUGCACAUUUGGAAAAAAAGAAAAUUAUAAAUUCCUCAUAAUUCAAGAUCAAAGUCAAAUAUUGAGAUUGCAGUGAAUAUCUAUUUAUCAGAUAAAUAUUUCAUGAAUCUUAUUACUCUUAUGGUGCGUUUGAUUGCAAGAAUAGAACUUGGGUAAAAAAAUGAAUUUCAAAGAAUUGGAUUGCCUAGAACUUGUUUUUUUGGAAAUUGUUAAUUAAAUUUGUUUAAUUCGUAUAACUUUCUACAUGAAAAAUGUUAAAAAUUUCUAUUUUUUUGUGCUUGUUUGGCUUUGUUUUCCAUGGAAUUUUUCAAUUAAAUAGAUAUAAUUUAUUACAAUUGGAGAUAAAAUUUAUUCCAACUGCCCAAAAAAAAAAAUAGAGUAGUUGGAAAACCAAUUCCUACCAAAACUAAAAGAAAACCAAUUCUUUAAAAACUUGGAAAAAGGGGUUGGUGGAAAAUGAAAUCCAUGAAAAAUUUUGCCCAUCAAACAUAUCAUUUGGCUGGAAAAUGAAAUUUAUUUUCCCUGAAAACUGGAGCCUAUCAAGCCCAUAUAUUCUCUUCUAAAAGGCACUAAAUUUAAAAUAUGACCAGAUUCAAUGAACCUCGCCAAUCAUUUUGUUUGUGUUGUCGUGCCCAAAAGUAGCACUAUUCGAUCAAUAAAGUUAUUUGUACAAAGUUGAAUUACAAAAAUUGAAUUACAAAAUGUGUUAACAAAAUUCAUGCCAUUAAUUUGAAAUGAUUAAAAAAUUUGGUUUUAAAAUAAUUGAUGUGAAUAUUAUUUUCUCAACCAACUUUAUUACUUUUUAUGAGUGUCGCACAGCUCUUAUUCGAUUGACAUUGCCUUCCGUUCACCAAUCAUAUUCUUCCAUUUCUUACCCUUCUCGAAUCAAAGUUCACAUUACAGUCUCAGGUUUUCAGUCUUCUCAAUUAUUAUCUACACUGUGCACCACUAGGGUAUGGCUUCUGAUGGAUUCCGGCCACUGGACGAGAAGUUAUUGGUGGAAUACGUGAAGGCAACUCCAGUACUGGCUGAGAAGCUGGGCAAUCAGUUUGAUAAGCUGGAAAUUGAAGAAGUAGGCGAUGGAAAUCUCAAUUUUGUGUAUAUUGUUAUUAGCCCAUCAGGCUCCUUAGUUAUCAAACAGGUAACAAGAUCUGUGCUCUCAGAUCAUUUUUUAGAAUUCGACCGACUUGCUAGAGUAAAAACUAAAAAGUUUUUCUUUUAUUUAUAUAUUUAUUUUUUUGCUAGCCAUUAUUCGGCAUGUUCUCGUUACAUUUAAGCUCCCAAGAAAAGAAAAUGUGUUGAAAAUCAAAGAUAGAUGAUGUUACUUUGAUUUGAUUGCAAGAUAUGGCUCCAUCAAUCAGACUUAAUAUCGAAGGGCUGAAAUUCAUCAAUUUUCUUUGUAUAUCCAUGCUAGCUAGUGUUGAUUGAGAAAGAUGAGGGUUUUUGGUCCAUAUUAGUUCUAGAUUUUCUUGGGAGGAGAAUGAUUGGGGCAGCAUUUCCCGACUUUAUUUUGACUUGCAAAAUAAGAAGCGAGAGAACAAAGUGGAACCUUCCAUCCUGGUUAGCAAAGGAGGCUAGAAUUAAGAGAAGAAGACAACACCAGCAUUCUUGAAGUUUCUUACAUAUUUGUUGUUGUUUUAUGUAAUGUCUUAUAGAAUGAGGAUUUAAAUAAUAUUGAUACUCUAUUGUCAUCUUACUCUAGCAAACCUUCACGAUAAAAAUCUACCACGCCGAAGUUUUAAUCAACCAUAGAAAGCUAUAGAGUUCUCUAACACAUUUACAUAUUGGGGUGUCUAAUAUGUAGAACAACUUCUAAAUCAAGUGCCUUAAAACCUGAAGGCGUGUCAUGGGGAAGAUGUUAAGAGUUAAAAGCUUCUUUCAUAUAGAUCAAAUAUCAUCUCUCAAUGACCUUGAGGAAAACUAUGAAUACUGUUCCUUCUCAAACUGUUUAUAAAUCUCUGCAGGCUCUUCCUUAUAUUCGUUGUAUAGGGGAGUCAUGGCCAAUGGCAAAAGAACGUGCCUAUUUUGAAGCAAUCACACUAAAAGAGCAUGGUGGCUUGUGUCCUGACCAUGUUCCUGAGGUUUACCAUUUCGACAGCUCGAUGUGUUUAAUUGGUAUGCAGUACAUUGAGCCUCCUCAUAUAAUCUUAAGAAAGGGGUUGAUUGCCGGGAUUGAGUAUCCAUUGCUUGCAGAGCACGUAUCAGACUAUAUGGCUAAAACCCUAUUCUACACGUCCCUUCUGUAUCUUACAACAACAGAUCAUAAAAGUGCAGGUAAGCAAUUUGCUUGGUCUUUUUACGAUCAUCUAACACCUGUACUAGAUCUACAGUUGACUUCAAUUGUUUAUCAGAAACUUGUAUUAUAACUUUAGAAUGUGAAGAUUCUGCCAGUAGCUUUUUGUUUAGUCUUCACAGACCCCUAAGGUACCUAAUUUGACUGUCUCCUAUGUUGACUUUUUGUUCCAUACUUCAGUUUCAUGGCCUUCACACCGUAUCGUUUCUGAACAGCACCAUUAUCAUUUCCAUUCAUGUCCUCUCAUUAUCCUCUUAUCCUUUCCAAUUCACCAUUAGUUUAUGUAAGAAAUAUUGAUGAGUUUUAGCUCCUACGUCAAUUAAUGUUGGAAGUCAGAACAUAAAUACUAGGCUGUUCAUCCUUGUUACUGAAUUUUAACCAUAUUACAUGCUUGUAUAUGCAUGUCUCAUUGGUACUUCAAUACUUGUGCAGUUGCUAAAUAUUGCGGAAAUGUGGAGAUGUGCAGACUCACUGAGCAGGUUGUCUUUUCUGACCCUUACAAAGUGUCUGAACAUAACCAUUGGACAUCUCCUUAUCUUGAUUCUGAUGCCGAAGCAGUUCGGGAGGAUAACCUUUUGAAGCUUGAAAUUGCUGAGCUAAAAUCCAAGUAAUCUGCAAUGUUAAAAUUCGAUUCCUUAUACUGCAUUUUAUUAAUUUUUUAAUAGAUGUGGAAUUUUUCCUUACGUUUCUUUGGUAACCUUCCAGAUUCUGUGAAAGAGCCCAAGCUCUUAUACAUGGUGAUCUCCAUACAGGUUCUAUCAUGGUGACUGGAGAUUCAACUCAAGUUAUUGAUCCUGAAUUUGGUUUUUAUGGGCCAAUGGGAUUUGAUAUUGGAGCUUUUGUUGGUAAUUUGAUUUUAGCUUACUUUGCACAAGAUGGACACGCUGUCGAUGGGAAUGAUCGAAAUGUAUAUUCUGACUCCACAUUCCUUUUCAUCAUCACUUAUUUUCUGACUAUCUUAAGUUUUCUGCAAUAACUCUCUGCUUCGCCAUGAUAUGUUUUUUCUUGAUAUUUUUACUUCUAAACUUUAUAGUGUCAUUCAGUUUUCUCAUCUCUCGCUCUCUCUCCCCAACCCCUUAGAAAUGGCAUCUUCUAGAAUUUUCCUUCUCAUAGUUGCUUGCUGGAUUGCUUCCAUUCUAAUUAGAGUCUUAUCGUGCAUAUAGUAAAUAAAUUACUUAUAUCUGUCCAUGUUAUGAUAGAGGGAAUUGCUUGAGAUUAAUAAAUUUCUGUUGUAUAAUUGACAUGUGCGCGUAAAUCUACCGUGCCCUGGAUUUUUUGUUUGAAAGCAAGAUUUACUGUGAAAAAUUCAAUUUUGUUAGUGAGGUUAUUGGCCGAAUUUGUUUCUGGAGUAAACUGGAAUAGCCGUUUUCAGAUACACACUUAAAAUGUAUCUGCAGAGUUUAUCCUCAGUAUGACCACUUCAUUUAAACAUUAAAAGUAGUAUGUUCAAGUUGUUUGUUGAGGUUCUGAUUGUUUAUAUUUCUUGAAUUAGACACUUCGUUUGAAAGGUGUCAUUUAUACGAAGUGGAUAGUGUUUUUGACUUUCCAAAAUGACAUUAGGGUAGAGUAAUUGUACAUCUGGCUGCCAAAUAGUGUGUUUAUAUGUGUAUUGGGAUCACAAAUGGUUGUGCAUUGCCUUGAGGGAGAUGAAACAUACCUGUGUAGUGAUAUCUAAAUGGUGGUUUUUUUCAUGAACAUUGUCAUCAGGAGACAAUUUCUCCUCGCAGGCUUAACUUUGCAACUUUUUUUUAGAUCAUGUAUAUCAGCAUAUCAGCAUAGUAGAUGAUUUUAACUUUGAUAAAUUCAGCUGUAGUGGAUGCAAAUGUCAGCUGAAAGGAAAUGUGGAGCUUGUCACUUAGGAGAAAGUUGUGUCCUAACUGGUUCCUCUUUUUCCGUGCUUCAUUACUCUCCAACUAACAUGAUUAAGGUCCCAAUAAUCUCUUGUUAACGAGGUAGUAAUAAGAAGGGCCAGAUUUGGGAUUUAUUUUCCUUUUUGGUUUUCUUCCAAAACUUCCAUGUCAUUUUUGCUUUCAAAAUUUCCCAUCUGAUUAUGCCUGUUAGGAAUGUGUGUAUUCUUUUCCAUGACAGAUUUCUGUUUAAAGUUAGUUGAGAGCUAACUGCUGUGAAGAAGGGGAAAAAAAAAACAACAGGAGCGUGUUGGCUCUAAUUGUAAAAUAGGGCACUAAUAUCUUGCAUAAAUAGAGAGUGAAAGUUACAAAAGGGGUUGGUACUCGUUAUCUGAAAACCACAGGGAAAACUCAUAGUUGUAUAGAGAGAGAGAGAGCCUAUUGUAUAAAAGUCAAACUAUUGAGUGUGUAUCUUCUGCUCAUACACGUAGUGAAUUUGACUUUUAGAUCAUGUAUAUCAGCAUAUCAGCAUAGUAGAUGAUUUUAACUUUGAUAAAUUCAGCUGUAGUGGAUGCAAAUGUCAGCUGAAAGGAAAUGUGGAGCUUGUCACUUAGGAGAAAGUUGUGUCCUAACUGGUUCCUCUUUUUCCGUGCUUCAUUACUCUCCAACUAACAUGAUUAAGGUCCCAAUAAUCUCUUGUUAACGAGGUAGUAAUAAGAAGGGCCAGAUUUGGGAUUUAUUUUCCUUUUUGGUUUUCUUCCAAAACUUCCAUGUCAUUUUUGCUUUCAAAAUUUCCCAUCUGAUUAUGCCUGUUAGGAAUGUGUGUAUUCUUUUCCAUGACAGAUUUCUGUUUAAAGUUAGUUGAGAGCUAACUGCUGUGAAGAAGGGGAAAAAAAAAAAAACAACAGGAGCGUGUUGGCUCUAAUUGUAAAAUAGGGCACUAAUAUCUUGCAUAAAAGGGGUUGGUACUCGUUAUCUGAAAACCACAGGGAAAACUCAUAGUUGUAUAGAGAGAGAGAGCCUAUUGAAUAAAAGUCAAACUACGAGUGUGUAUCUUCUGCUCAUACACGUAGUGAAUUUGACUGGGAAAUUUGUCCUGUUCUUGAAUAUAGCAAUUCUUGUUCUGAUUCUUGUAAAUUGCUGGUGUCACUUCUGUGUUUUUUUCUUUCUUCAUCUCUAUAACUGUUCUUGUUUGUGUGUGCAAAUCUUUAACAAGUAGCUUAUCCAGUAAAAAAAUUUUUUCAAUGCAGCAUUAUAAAGUCUGGAUUUUGAAGACUAUAACUGAGACUUGGAAUCUCUUCUAUAAAAAGUUUACUGCUCUUUGGGAUGAACAUAAGGAUGGUCCUGGAGAGGCAUAUCUUCCAGCUAUUUAUAAUAAUCCAGACGUACAGUUGCUGGUCAAACAGAUAUACAUGAAAGAACUUUUCCACGACACUCUUGGAUUUGGCGCUGCCAAAAUGAUAAGGUUAGAUGGGCUUUUCUCCUCUGUGAAUCAGAUUCUCAACAUUGCGACUUUAUUGGACCUUCUGUUAUUUUUUUCUCAUACAUGUGCAGUGUCUUUGAUGGGUGUAGAAUUUGUACCGUAAGAUCAGUGUGUGUACAUCACAAGCUUUUGUUGCUCCUUUUGCAUUUGAUGCUCCUUCAUGCUUAUUACUAUAGAUAGUUAAUAAGUAAAGAUGAUAAACAUAUAAAGAUGAUAAACAUACAUCAUUGACUUGCAGGAG